rnacentral:piRNA from 1 species
UGGGUAGUCCCAUUGUUUUGAAUCGCAGC